rnacentral:lncRNA from 10 species
CAGCCAUCAGUCUGACAGGCUGUGGAUAGCAACCAUUCAGAGGCUAGAGUGAAGUUACAAAGUUGCAAACAAAGACUGGACCGGCAGUCAGCCUGAUUUGUUGGGGACAGCCAGUUUCCCAUCUGCCGCACAGAAAAGGUCAAAGGGAGUAGCCUCUGGUCCUUUUGUUAUUUAGCAUACAAAGCUAGGCUUCUCCUUUCAGUUUAGUUCUAGGAAGUCGUCGUGAAACAGCCUUAGGUCCUCUGCCUCCAGACCCUAUUCUCCUGCCUCGGAAGGACUGUUCCCACACCAUCUUGAUAGGUUUUCACCUUCAUUCCUGCAGAAGCUGCCCUGGAUGAAGUAAACACUAGCAGCACCCAGUUCUCAAGCUCCAUGAAGACCACACCUGGGCCCGUUCUGCUCCUACAAGCUCUGACCAGUAAAAUGGCACCUUCCAGUACCCCAGGCUCAGAUGGGAUGCUGGUGUCCAGGGAGAGAGGGGGCUUGAAAGAUGGCAUAAGGAAGAGGAGCAGAAUGGCGCACAUACGUCAUGAGCAGUUGGUUGAAUCAGUUUCUUGCCUGGGCUACACUGGUCUUUCCUCGACGCAAACAAAUGCCAUUUCCUCAGGAGCCAAGAAUGAGGUGCUCUUUUCAAAUUUUCUGUGCUCCACAGAGCUGUGCUUAGAUGCUUCAUGCUGCUUCGAAGUUCUGAGGCAAGAUCCUAAGAUCCUGCAACCUCACAAGCUCACUUACAAAGCAUUACUGUAAUGCAUCCCAGCAAGAAGCUCUGUUUCACUGUAGCUUGGAGCACAAGAUUGCCUUGUAAAUAGGAAACGAUGAUGGAUGGAAGACAGCAGAGGCUUGUGGAAUUUUAACCCUGAUGGUAAGGCUGCCGCUAAGAAUAACCCUGCUGUGCUUCAGGCCAGGGAGGCUGAGCAGAAAACCCUCUUUUCUCAUUGCCCCACCUGCCUCUUCUGGACGCAAUCAGCCAAGGAGUGAACAGUCUUGUGGAUCCCUUGUCUGCAUAGCCUCAGAGCACUCUUGAGCCUGCGUUUUCAUCAUUCCCAGGCCUCCUGGAUGAAACUGAGCAGCCCUUGAUGCCUGCAGACAGUCUCCACUGAGCUUUCCUAGUUUAUCUUUAAGUCCUGUCCCAAGAGGUUUGUCAGUCUCUGUCAAAUAAGACAUGUUGCUCACACUGAGACCUUGUUCUUAUCCAGGCACAAAUAAACUGCUAUUUUCCAUGAUGCUUGGACUUCACUCUUGUUAACUUAUUAAGGCCCUAAGGGCCCAGAGGGACAAGUUCUAUUGUCAUCUGCAUUUAGUGAACGGAGUGUGUGGAUGUCACACGGCAGAGCCAAGACCCAUCACAUCUUCAGGCUACAUCACCCUGCUCACCGCAUGGCUCAUGGCAGGUGGCAGGUGAGGGUGACAGUGGAGGCACACUUUCCCUAGGAUGCUGUUACAGAGCUCAGGGGAUGUGGAAAGGCAUCACUUUGGAAGUGUUCCCCACACAUUAAAGUUACCUAUUCCUGAAGAUCCUUACAAAUGUUCAACCACUUUGGAGGGAUGUAUGCAUUGCCUCUUAUAAAGUAGGUUUUUAAAUUUGUCCUAAAUCCCCUUCCUCUCAAACGUGUUCUCAUUAGAGAACUCCAGGAUUUCAGCAGACAUAUCCACAUGCUCGUUUUCAAGGUCCUUCAUGAUAUCAGAGACCUGGAGCCAUAACCACUGACUGUUACCAGCCACACCCGUCUCAUCUGCAGCCUCUCCAGAAGCAAGGAAGCCAAGCUUCACCUGCCUGUGUGCUGAAGCUGCCUUUACCCUUCUUGAUUUGUGUUCUAGUGUUUUAUUCACAAAGUCUUUUCCUACCAAGGAUCUUUUUAAAAAUGUAUAUUUUCUUUUUAAAAAGUUUUGCUUCACAUAAUGAGAAAUGCCCCUGGAAGUUUUUCUAGCCAAUGUGAGUUCGGUAUGUAAUUUUAUUGUUUUUCAUUUGGAAAGCAAAUUGUCCUAGCUCUAUUGUUUGGCUACUCCAACUUUUUUCCCACUUCCCUGCUAGUUUUUAAUGGUCACUCUUUCAUAUAAUCACUUAUUUAUUUAAUCUAUUGGAUGCCUCUAGUAUGCCAGGCGCUGUUGUAAGUGCUGCUGAUAUGACACAAAGGCAGAAAACAGCCCUGCCCUCGUGGAGCGCAGAUUUUAGUGGACCUGGAGGAUUUUCCAGGCAGAGAAAAUACCAAGUACAGGGACAAGAAGCAGAAGUUCUGUGUGUUUGAGACACACUUGAGAAGGCAGUGUGUUGGGAAAAUAAAUAAGGUAGGAAAAGGAUAGAAGACAAGAUCAGAAAGGUAGCACCUAGAGCCCAAGCUAAAAAUUUCGGGAUGCAUUUAAGUGUGAUGAAAAUCCACCAAGAGUGAAAUCAGCGAGGCCGAUAAGAAAGCUCUUCACACAGUUUAGACAGCAGACAAUGGUGGCGGCUUAGACGCAUGUGCAAUGUAUGUAGUGCCCUAGGAAGAGUGACUGGAUUUUAGAUAUCACUUGAAGGUCAAGCUGAUGAAUUUGUGUAUAGUCAGAGGGAAAGGGAGAAGGUUUUUUUUUUUAUUGGAGUAAUUAUGUAAAAUAGUGGUGUCGUUUUAUUGAAAUAGAAAUCCUGCAGAAGCAGGUUCAAGGGCAGGAGUAGAAAGUGAAGACAAGAGUUCCAUUUCUAAAAUGUAAGCUUUACACACUUGUUAGACAUGGAGAUGUCUUGCAGACAGUUAGGAAUGCAUUCCAGGAGCUCAGGAGUUAGGGUUGUGGAUAUAAAUGUGGUUGUCUUUAGCACAUAGCUGAGAACUAAAGCCAUAGCAUGAGAUGAGGUCACCCAGCACAUGAGUAUAAUUAGAGAAGGUGGAUUUGUAUUGGCUUUUUUUUUUUUUUUUUUUGUAGACUGCAGUGGGAAAGUCAUUGGCCCCUUUCUAGACUUAAUUCUGUUUCAUUAAUCUACUGUUUAUCCAUGUGCUAAAAAACACAUUGAUUUAUUUAUUGUAACUUUAUCACGUCUUAAUUUCCAUAGGGUUUGCCCACCCAUAAUGUUUGUAUGCUGAUAAGAAAAAGCCAAUCAAAAGAGAGAAUUUGAUAAUGAAGAUCAAUAGUUGCAGGAUUAAAGUCCAUGAGUAGAUGAGAGAUGAUGAGACCCCCUGCCUUUGCCAGUGUAAAGAGUGACUCUAGAUAAGGAAGGUACUCAUUCCUGUAAUAGAUAAGAAAGAAAAAUGCUUGAGUCUGUAUUUCUGUUAUAUCCCAUUGAUCUAUUUUGACAGAAAUUACACUGAAUUUAUAAAUUAAUUCAAAACAAAUUGACAUGACAUUAUGCUUGUUUUUCCAUGAAUAAGGUUUACCUUUACUUUCUCUUUUUCUUAUCUUAUUGCAUUGGCUAGAAAUGUCAAUGUCUUUUUUGGGGCUUUAUUGAGGGUAUUUGGUGGGGAUAUGCUCAGUAAGUUUAACAUUUGUUAUAGAUUUCAGGUUAGGAAAAUUGCUUCUAUUCUUGGUUUGCUAA